rnacentral:rRNA from 1 species
AGAACAAUGUACAAAUGUUAUCGAUAAACAAUUGGAGGGCAAGUCUGGUGCCAGCAGCCGCGGUAAUUCCAGCUCCAAUAGCGUAUAUUAACGUUGUUGCAGUUAAAAAGCUCGUAGUUGAAAUGUGGGAUGAAGUAUAUAAUGAAUUUCUAAUUCAAUUAUAUAUUGAUUCCCCUCUCCAAUUUAUUAUUAUGGGUAUUAAUUUAUUUGUAAUAAGAAUUGGUCAUUUACUGUGAGAAAAUUAGAGUGUUCAAAGCAGGCAUUUGCUUGAAUAGAUUAGCAUGGAAUAAUACUAAAAGGCUUUUAUGGUCGAUUUAAUUGGUUUGUUCAUAAAAGCAAGAUUAAAAGGAACAGUUGGGGGUAUUC